GUAGCAGCUAAAAUUCCAAAUACAAUGCAAAAUGGUAGAAUUGAUGGCAAACAUCCCAUAUUGAAAGCCAAUAUAAAAUGAGCCGCUUUGUUCUACCAUGCCCAACCAGCAUGAUAUUUCUUCCUUGGAGCCAACAGACUAUGGACUGAAUUUCUCAAAACUGUUCAUCAGCUGAUAUUCUCAGCUAUUUUUGCCAUCCAUGGAGAAUCAAUGAAUAGAGAGGAUGCUAUGUAAUGUUUCCGGU